CCUACGGGAGGCAGCAGUGGGGAAUAUUGCACAAUGGGCGCAAGCCUGAUGCAGCCAUGCCGCGUGUGUGAAGAAGGCCUUCGGGUUGUAAAGCACUUUCAGCGGGGAGGAAGGCGGUGAGGUUAAUAACCUCAUCGAUUGACGUUACCCGCAGAAGAAGCACCGGCUAACUCCGUGCCAGCAGCCGCAGUAAUACGGAGGGUGCAAGCGUUGAUCGGAAUUACUGGGCGUAAAGCGCACGCAGGCGGUCUGUCAAGUCGGAUGUGAAAUCCCCGGGCUCAACCUGGGAACUGCAUUCGAAACUGGCAGGCUAGAGUCUUGUAGAGGGGGGUAGAAUUCCAGGUGUAGCGGUGAAAUGCGUAGAGAUCUGGAGGAAUACCGGUGGCGAAGGCGGCCCCUGGACAAAGACUGACGCUCAGGUGCGAAAGCGUGGGAGCAAACAGGAUUAGAUACCCGGGUAGUC
rnacentral:rRNA from 1 species